ACAUGCCUACAACUUAGUGUUAAUGCACCAGAUCCCAUUAUUAAUCCACAAUUAAGCACGCUCAGGCUAGAGUAGUACUAGGAUGGGUGACCACCCUAGAAUUCCUAAUAUUUUACAUGCC
rfam:Picea glauca, whole genome shotgun sequence.